GGGGUUCCAAAAAAAAAAGGCUGUCAUGAACACUUGUACAGCUUCCCAACAAUAUUCUGUUUUCUGUCUCUUUUUGCAACUGGCCACAUAGAAAGGAGAAAACCACACAGACCAGCAAAGUCAUUUAGCUCCAUCCAAUGAGAAUAACUAUUGUCUUCCUUCCUUGUUUCAUAAUCUUGUUAUGUGUUCUAGUCUUCACAAGUUUUGCAUAUGAAAAUUCUCAUGAAUCAAGAAACAGAGGGAUUCGCAUCUUGAAACAUGUAUUUGGAGUGCAAGAAAAAGAGAACGAGGGUGAAAGCGCAAGAAGAGGAGGGAAGGGACAGAGAGGAAGAGGACCAAAUGGAGGUUCGAACAACCUUCAUCAUACGCGUCCUUAUAAAAGUUCAGCGUUAUCCAUGAAGCAGCCCUUCAUCUUCACAUCAACUGCUGAUGCCAUAUUCAGAUUCUCUCUUCUUCUUGUAUUGCUGUUCGUCUUUCCAUGAUAAGUUCCACUAUGUUAGUAAAUUUGUAAGUGAACAGUCUUAUUAACAUGAUUUAUAAGAUUGUUGAUGCAUUAUUUGUCUUUCUUCCUCACUCCCCCUUUCAGGGCGUGGAGCUAGUAAGGGCCCGGGGGUUCAUCCAACCUCCCUUCGGCAGUAAAUUAUGCUUUCUAUACAUGUUAAAAUUACUUUUUUAUGUAUAUGUAGUAAAAAAUGAACUUCCUUUUGA